UACGGAGGGGACUAGCGUUGUUCGGAAUUACUGGGCGUAAAGCGCACGUAGGCGGAUUUGUAAGUCAGGGGUGAAAUCCCGGGGCUCAACCCCGGAACUGCAUUGGAUACUGCCUUGCUCGAGUACUGGAGAGGGAACUGGAAUUUACGGUGUAGCAGUGAAAUGCGUAGAGAUCGUAAGGAAGGCCGGUGGCGAAGGCGAGUUCCUGGACAGUUACUGACGCUGAGGCACGAAGGCCAGGGGAGCAAACGGG
rnacentral:rRNA from 1 species